rnacentral:rRNA from 1 species
GACGAACGCUGGCGGCGUGCUUAAUACAUGCAAGUCGAACGGAAAGGCCCUGCUUUUGUGGGGUGCUCGAGUGGCGAACGGGUGAGUAACACGUGAGUAACCUGCCUUUGACUUUGGGAUAACUUCAGGAAACUGGGGCUAAUACCGGAUAGGAGCUCCUGUUGCAUGGUGGGGGUUGGAAAGUUUCGGCGGCUGGGGAUGGACUCGGGGCUUAUCAGCUUGUUGGUGAGGUAGUGGAUGACCAAGGCCAUGGCGGGUAGCCGGCCUGAGCGGGUGACCGGGCACAUUGGGACUGGAAUACGGCCCAGACUCCUACGGGAGGCAGCGGUGGGGAGUAUUGCACGAUGGGCCGAAGCCUGGUGGAGCAACGCCGCGUGCGGGAUGACGGCCUUCGGGUUGUAAACCGCGUUCGCCUGUGACGAAGCGUGAGUGACGGUAAUGGGUAAAGAAGCACCGGCUAACUACGUG